AUGCAUAAAGGCAGAUUUGAGACCCAAGAAAGAUUGAGUAAGAGGCUCGUGGAUUUGAGAGAGCAAUAUACAUCCACUGGUACUAAGGAGAUUCUUAUAAAGUCGAUGGCGCAGGCGAUCCUCACCUAUGUCAUGAGUGUGUUCAAGCUUUCGGCUUCCGUUUGCGAUGACUUAACUCAGAUUAUGAGACAAUACUGGUGGGAGUGGAAAACGGGAAGAGGAAGAUGGCUUGGUUGA
rnacentral:rRNA from 1 species